rnacentral:rRNA from 1 species
GAUGAACGCUGGCGGCGUGCCUAAUACAUGCAAGUCGAGCGAACGGACGAGAAGCUUGCUUCUCUGAUGUUAGCGGCGCGCGGGUGAGUAACACGUGGAUAACCUCCCUAUAAGACUGGUAUAACUUCGGGAAACCGGAGCUAAUACCGGAUAAUAUUUUGAACCGCAUGGUUCAAAGGUGAAAUACGGCCUUGCGGGCACGUCUCGAGGGAUCCGCGCUGCAUUAGCUAGUUGGUAAGUUAACGGCUUACCAAGGCAACGAGGCAUGGACGAAGUGAGAGAGUGAUAGCCGACCCUAGAACUGAGACGGCGACCAUAGGCCUACGGGAGGCAGCAGAAGGCAACCUUACGCAACGGGCGAAAGCAUGACGGAGCGACGCCGCGUGAGUGAUGAAGGUCUUCGGAUCGUAAAGACCUGUUAUUAGGGAAGAACAUAUGUGUAAGUAACUGUGCCCAUCUUGACGGUACCUAAUCAGAAAGCAACGGCUAACUACGUG